CCUACGGGAGGCAGCAGUGGGGAAUUUUGCGCAAUGCUCGCAAGCGUGACGCAGCCACGCCGCGUGAAUGACGAAGGCCUUCGGGUCGUAAAGUUCUUUCGACAGGGAAGAAAAUGCCUAUAAGUAACUGUGUAUGUAUUGACGGUACCUGCAUAAGAAGCACCGGCUAACUCCGUGCCAGCAGCCGCGGUAAUACGGAGGAUGCAAGCGUUAUCCGGAUUUAUUGGGUUAAAAGCGUGCGCAGGCGGAAGAUAAAGUCAGCGGUAAAAUUGAGAGGCUCAACCUCGUCGAGCCGUUGAAACUGGUUUUCUUGAGUGAGGGAGAGGUAUGCGGAAUGCGUGGGGUAGCGGUGAAAUGCAUAGAUAUCACGCAGAACUCCGAUUGCGAAGGCAGCAUACCGGCGCUCAACUGACGCUCAUGCACGAAAGUGUGGGUAUCGAACAGGAUUAGAUACCCCUGUAGUC
rnacentral:rRNA from 1 species